rnacentral:rRNA from 1 species
AUACGGAGGGUCCGAGCGUUAAUCGGAAUUACUGGGCGUAAAGCGCGCGUAGGCGGCUUGUUAAGUCAGAUGUGAAAGCCCUGGGCUCAACCUGGGAACUGCAUUUGAUACUGGCAAGCUAGAGUAUGGGAGAGGACAGUGGAAUUUCUAGUGUAGCGGUGAAAUGCGUAGAUAUUAGAAGGAACACCAGUGGCGAAGGCGACUGUCUGGCCCAAUACUGACGCUGAGGUGCGAAAGCGUGGGGAGCAAACAGGAUUAGAAACCCCAGUAGUCC